rnacentral:rRNA from 1 species
AAACCAGCUCUCCGAGUGGUAGGGGUGAUUAUUGGGCUUAAAGCGUCCGUAGCCGGCCUGGCAAGUCUUCCGUUAAAUCCAGCAACCUAAUUGUUGGGCUGCGGGGGAUACUGUUAGGCUUGGGGGCGGGAGAGGCCGACGGUAUUCUCGGGGUAGGGGUGAAAUCUUAUAAUCCCGAGAGGACCACCAGUGGCGAAGGCUGUCGGCUAGCACGCGCCUGACGGUGAGGGACGAAAGCUGGGGGAGCGAACCGGAUUAGAGACCCGAGUAGUCC